rnacentral:tRNA from 1 species
GGAAACAUAGUUCAACGGAAGAACAGUUGGUUGUUAGCCAUCAGAUGAAUGUUCGAAUCAUUCUGUUUCCG